GGAGUAUGGUCGCAAGGCUG
rnacentral:siRNA from 1 species